AUAGCAGGUCGUCUUAUCGCGCUGUCGUAAGGCAGUGAGGAAAGUCUGGGCAACACAGAGCGUCGGCCUUCCGAAAGAAAGGCGUCCGUGAGGGUGCAGUAGGGCAGAAGAAAACAACCGCCGCGUAUGCGGUAAGGGUGAGAAGGCGGUGUAAGAGACCACCAAUGCAGCAGGUGACUGUUGCAGUUGUGUCCCUGCCGAGUUGAAAGGUCAUGUAUAUCGUAAUCCGCAAGGGCAAGGCUGCUCGUCUUGUUUUUGGAAACAAAAGUUGCGAGGGGUGGACCGAUAGUGAUUGCAGGCAACUGCAGUUCGAGAUAAAUGAUAAGACAUUGCUACGGCAAUGACAGAACUUGGCUUAUAGACCUGCUAUCUUU
rnacentral:RNase_P_RNA from 1 species